AUUCUUUUGUGGCUCAUGGCUUGGGAUUUUCAUGCUAAACAUUUUUAACUUGUAAGAUUGAGACUUCACACUAAUCUGUGAGAUAUGCCUCCCUCAAACCUUGCUACAGUAUUGGCACAUUAUUCAUCUCAUA
ensembl:snoRNA